rnacentral:misc_RNA from 1 species
AACUGAUACUACCUGCGGGAACCUGCGGAAGGAUCAUUACCGAAGUUACUCUUCAUACCCUUAUGUGAACACUACCCCUCGCCGCGCGGUUGCCUCGGCGGGAGGGUCCGGGGCCGGGGUCUCGACCCCGCGCCACGGCCCCCCGCCGGCCGCGCCCAACUCUUAUUUGCAGAGCGGACUGUAUUCUGAUUAAACUUGAAAACAAGUCAAAACUUUCAGCAACGGAUCUCUAGAUCGGAA